rnacentral:tRNA from 1 species
GGGGUUUCGCAGCAGGUCAGCGGCGGUUUCCUGGUUCCGGACGCAGGUGGGUUCCGCCCCCGGAUACUCCAACCCUUCGAGGGUUCAAAUCCCUCCUCCACCGCCA